CCUCCAUCAGGUCCUUUGUUGAUAUGAGCAGUGUUCUUCCUUGAAGAUGGCCUUCUCUUUUCUAGCUUAUGAAUUUUCAGAGAAAAUCCAAAUUUUAUUUGCCAAAUCUUGAGUUUGUAUUUUUGUGUAAAGAAACUAUAUGAAGGAACACAAACUUCUUGAGAUCGCCCACUGGCUGAGAGCCUGUUUCUCUGGAAAGACGUGCACCUACCACAUCAGAGGUGGAAGCUUUUUUGACAGUUGUCUUGUCGUCCUUUCACAUACACAGCCUUGCAGGGACAAGGUCCCUUGCAAUGUUCUUUGCGAGUUCUUGAGAAGACUUGUUACCUCUUUUUCUCUUUUGAAUGAAUGAAUCUUCUUGUUGUUUGUCAUUUUGAUUAUAUUGAUAAAAAAUAAUUAUUGUCCAUUGGACAAACAACCUCGUCCGUUUUUAUUGGUGAAGUAUGCUGACGACUUCACCAACCCACUGACAUGACAACUUUACAACUAUACACCAUUAUAAAUCUGGACAAGAGAACUCUACUAGGGACCGGGUCCCUCCAAUUGUGUGCCACUGAAACAGAUAGUCUCAUCCGCUCUUUCUAUUGGUGCUGUACACUGCACUUUUCACUUACCACCUGACAUGACAAGUUUACAGUUGUACCCCAUUUAAAUCUGGACGAGAGCACUCUGCCAAGGACCGGGUCCCUGCAUUUGUGAGGAUCAUCAAAACACCUAGAAUAUAACAUUUCCCCCCUUUUUGAUGAUGACACACAAAUAUUCCUCACAUUGAGUUUAUUCAUUCAUUUUCCCUGUCGUCAGUCUCUAUAACAAGGAUCUGGUUCCUUGUCAGAUCCCUAAAGUUUUAAAAUCAUCAAAACUUAAUAUCAGCUCCAAACUAAUAGAUAUAUUCCCUAUAAUGAGUAACUGUUAGAUAGUAGCUUGUCAUUAUCCGAAAUUGGAUCAUGAUGACACCUACCAUAAACCCCUCAGAUGCAAAUCAAAA
rnacentral:lncRNA from 1 species